AAAGAUUUAGUUUAAUAUAAAACAUUAACUUGUCAAGUUAAAAUUAUUUAUUUAAUAAUCUUUA
rnacentral:tRNA from 1 species